AAGUCGUAACAAGGUUUCCGUAGGUGAACCUGCGGAAGGAUCAUUAAAGAGUUAGGGUCUCUCUAGGCCCGACCUCCCAACCCUUUGUUUACCUUGCUGCAUGUUGCUUUGGCGGACCCGUCUCACGACCGCCCUGGGACCGCCGAGAGGUGCCCCGGGGCCCGUGUCCGCCGAUAGCCAACCUAAACUCUUGAAUGAAUCGUGUUUUAUGUCUGAGUCUAUUGAUUAAAUCAAAAGCAAAAACUUUCAACAACGGAUCUCUUGGUUCUG
rnacentral:misc_RNA from 1 species